AGUGGAUUGUGUAUGUGUGACUUUGUAAAUCAUUGUAGAGGAUCACAUGACAAUCCAUGUUGGAGGAGGAGAGGAGAUUUAGCCAGAAGGACAUAAGCCCUUUGAAUAUUAGUUAGAAAUCUUCAGAACAUUACCUUCCUGCUGACUGCAUUACAGCCAAUCCCACUCAGGUUUAAGGAGGGUUGGAAUGGCGAGGAUUCUCAUCUAACAUCUGGACUGCAGUUGCAUUUUAAACAUGGCUUCCUGGAAAUAUACCAAAUGAAAGAAUAACUAUAAAGUUGAGAAUUUCAGGUUGGGGGCAAGCAGGCUUUUCAAAACUCCUUUGUUCAAAACUUGGCUCACAUCAGACUGAACAUGUAUUUUCCACUCAUUACAGCCAGCCUAAAGUAAAGUACUUGAACUAGACCCUCAGGUGAACUUUGGUCCUGGGGGAUUUUGUGUUCUUUGGUAAUGGUAUCUCUGUAUUGUACAAGAAACUCGUAGGACAGCCCUCUCCUCUUCCUGUGUUGCUCAAAUGGCGUGACCUUGAACCUCUGCCUUCCCAGGGCAGAUACUUCACAAGUAAGAGGAAAAACUAUCUGAUCAGGUAUCCCCUUCUCUGCCCCCUCUCUCCUGCUGCAGAGAAAGUGAUCAACCAGCAGCAGGUACCAGCCACAGUUAAAUGUACCUGCUUGGAGCUUUCAAAAAGCUAUUUCUGCAGUAAUGAAGAAAUUCGCAUUUCACCUCCCUCCACACAGGACUCACUGGAGAAAGAGGUAAGGAAGUUGAUAUAUGAUCCUUUUAGAUGCGCUCUGUUAUACCCAACUGCUUUCAAAGGAUGGAUUUUGAAACUAGAGAGUGAAAGAAGAAAAAGAACAAAGACUUUAAGGUUCUGAGAGAUACAAAAAAAUACACUUCCAUUCUUGCCCUCUGGCUGGGGAAUCCUGCUGGCUGACUUAUAAUUUGAAGAAGAGAUUUCUUUUAGGCUUUUCUUAUGAGAUUUCCCACAUUUUCUUGUACUUCUGUAUGACAUGGUAGCAAAUAGAAAAGUUUAAAUUCAAAUUCCAUGAGAAUAAAUGAAUAUAAGAAUCAUUGUUGCAGUGGUGAUAGUUCCAAAUACAGUUCAUAAAGUAGCUUAAUUUUUUACUGUGUUACUUUAAUACUAUAAAUAAGUGAACCAUUAAUUAUGCUUUGAUAAGUUGGCCAAAUACUUUCCUGAUGAAAUUGUAUUUAUUACUGUGGGGUUUGGCAUAUGUAAUAAAGAUCAGGACAGCAAAUAACUAGAAUUUGUGAACAACUUGCUAAGUACUCACCAUUUUGCUGACUUUUUCCAUUAUGAAGAAAUAGGAGAUAUUGGAUCAUAUGUUCAUGAAAUAUGAACAUGUUUUCAUUUUUUGUUGGGGAGAAAAAUGUAAAAUGUAAACCACAUAGUGCCUGAUCUGAAGGGAAUCCCAAUACAGAAGAAUCAGUGAAGGCUGAAAUCACCAGGGAAAGAGGGAAUUUGAGCUGACCUGGAUUUGGAAAAAAAGGACGUUUUGAAUGAAAAAAGGAUAUGUGAUAAAGAAAUACUAUUGGAGGGCUUGUAAGACAGGAUAGGCAGGUACCCUUGAGUGGGAAGCAUAUCUCCAGGAGCAGAGAAUGAUACAGGAUUGUAGGGAACAUCAGAUUCACAGGUGCCUUGAAAGACCGAUUGGACUCUGGUAGGAUGUUGGUGUCAUUGAAUGUUUUUGAAAAGAAAACUCACUGAAUUAAAUUUAUGGGGGUUUCCCAUCAACAGAAAAGUCCUUUCACACAUUCAGUGAACUUUAGUGAUGCUGAAUAAUUCUGCUAAUAGGUAUCACACAUGGUCUCUGCUGCUACUUAAAACAUUUGUACAUUAGAGGAGGCAGGACAUCCCUGGAUUUAUGUAUUUUCCCAGCCAAAACUCUCUCUCUCUCUCACGUUGUACUGUAUUGCUUUUUUUCUCCACUUUUUAAUUUAAAUUCUAGUUAGUUAACACAUAGUGUCAUAUUAGUUUUAAGAGAAUUUAGUGAUUCAUUACUUAUGUAUAACACCCGGUGCUCAUCACAAUGUCCUCCUUAAUACCCAUCACCCAUGUAGCCCAUCCCCCCCACCUCCUCUCCAACAACCCUCAGUCUGUUCUCUGUAGUUAAGAGUCUGUUUUAUGGUUUGCCUCCCACUUGUUUUUUUUCUGUCCCCUAUGUUCUUCUGUUUUGUUUCUUAAAUUCCAUAUGAGUGAUAUCAUAUGGUAUUUGUCUUUCUCUGACUGACUUCACUUAGCUAUUAUCACUAACUCCAUCCAUAUCAUUGCAAAUGGCAAAACUUCAUUCUUUUUGAUGAUUGAGUAAUAUUCCACUGUGUGUGUGUGUGUGUGUGUGUGUGUGUGUGUAUUUCUCCAUUCACCAGUUGAUAGACAUUUGGGCUCUUUCCAUAGUUUGGCCAUUGUUGAUAAUGCUGCUGUAAACAUUGUGGUGCAUGUGCCCCUUCAAAUCAGCAUUGUAUCCUUCAGGUAAAUACCUACUGGUGCAAUUGCUGGGUCUAGGGUAGUUCUAUUUGUAACUUUUUGAGAAAGAUUCAUACUGUUUUCAGAGUGGCUGCACCAGUUUGCAUUCCCAUCAACGGUGUAAGAAGGUUCUCCUUCCUCCUUACCAAUAUCUGUUGUUCCUUGUGUUGUUAAUUUCAGCCAUUCUGGCAGGUGUGAGGUGGUAUCCCACUCUGGUUUUGAUAUAUAUUUCCCUGAUGAUGAGUGAUGUUAAGCAUUCUUGAUUAUACUUUCAAACUCACUCCACAUGGAAUUAUCAUAUAAGAAGAACUAGGUUUCAGUGCGCUGAGGAAGGACUGGCACAGAAUGGUUAAUAGGUUGGAUGCAGGAUGCUUGAUGUACAUUCGGUCUGAGGACAUUGCCAUUUAAAAUUUUUAUUUAUUUUUUUUAAAUAUUUAUUGUGAGAGAGCAUGAACACAUGUGUGUAUGCACACACUUGUGUGCAUGUGAGUGGGGGGAGGGGCAGAAACAGAGGGAGAGGGAGAAUCCCAAGCAGGCUUCGCUGUCUUGCAAACCCAUGAGAUCAUGACCCAAGCCAAAAUCAGGAGUUGGAUGCUCAACUGACUUGAGUCACCCAGGUACUUGAGUCACCUUUGCUUUUUUUAAAUAAAAUAUUUAGAAUUAGAAAUGCCAACACUGAUUUCUCAGGCCAACAGUCUCCUUGAUUUGGUUCAUUUAUGGUCCAAAAAGAAAGAAGAUUUUUCAAGUCAUAAAGAUCGUGUCAUCCUCUGAUUCCAAACCAGGAACACAGAGUGAUUGAGGCUCCUCCAAGUGUACUUCCCAAGUUUUGCCUCGAAUUCAUCAUUAUUGCCUCUGUUGUAUUGUCUCCCCAUGGAGUAGCUUCAUUGAGAGCCAAGGCUGCAGGAAGAGCCUGUUACCCUAACUCUUCUGACUGGAUCCUCUCUUCUCCUCAGAUCUGCAUACCUUGCUCCAUUUUCCACCUGAACUGUAGACAGAGGACAUGGGUUUGAGUUUAGUAUGACACUGUUGGGAUUUCAGUUAGGCAAAGAGAACCACUUCGGUACUAUAAAGGUGGUUGGUUAGUCAGUCUCCCUUUUGAUCUCCUGUGUUGGAAUCCUGACAGGCAGUGAAGAGGCUGACAGCCCGGGAGACUUCACAUCAUGAGUUAAAAAGACCCCCAUUUUUCUACUGGAGUUUGAGAUUGCAAACAUUUUCCAGUCCUGUGAGUCUCUAAUGAGGCUGUUUCUUUGUCUUAUGAAGGAAUUGUCCAAAUCUGGAUGCACACCCCCACUCCCCAGCCCCCACUCCUUUUUUGUUUGUUUGUUUUUUUAAGAUUAAGGUCCCUGGAGAGGUGAACAUUUUCCUUUUUAGUAGACUCUUCUCUAAUUCUUACAGGAAUAAACUUUCAAGUUUACCUCACUGAGACAACCCAUUUCCUUUUUCAACUUUAUUUGGUUAUUUCUCUCCCUGUAUGCUAGUGAGCUACUAGGCCACAGUUCUUGGCUUUGAAUACAGCUCUGAGUUUUUGUCAAAGAGAAGAUUGAUACCAUCAGCUUCCAGGGAUUCAUGUGGCCCUGGAGUCAUUCAGGAUUAAUUUACUAAAUUAGCAAACCUGUCAGUUAAUUGCCUAUUCAUUGGAGUCUGAGAAAGAAAAUUUAAACUCACUAGCAAUUUUGACAUCUUAGGAGGACAAAGAAAUUAUAUACGUUUAACUCUAAUAUCAUUGCUAUUGCUAUAUUGUGAGUCUUCCUACUAUAAGUGGUUGAAGCACCAUUUGGCAUGCUAAAUAAUUGCACUGCAUGCCACUUCUUUGAAAAUAAAUAUUAAUACAAGCACAGCUAAUAAAUAUUGCAUUCAGUUAUAAUAGUAAAUGUAGUAAAAUUGAGUCUCUGUUGAUGAGAUUGACCCUAAAUAAUUUUUAUUGAAUUUAAUGAAAUCAUUAGGCAGCCUUUAGGAUCUAUCAGAGUAUGCAUUUUCUUUGAAGAGACUUUAUCAUCUAAUAUGAAUGAACACACAUUAUUAUAAACAUAUAUUAGCAUAUAAUACAUACUUAUAUAUAAAAAUACAUAAAUAUAAAAAUAUAUAUUUGUCGUGGCGAUGGUGGUGGUAGUACAGUCUUACAAAAUGAAAAUCUUACAAAGACUGACAAAAUGAAAAUAUGGCUCACCAUUUUUACCUUUCCAUUAUCUUCUAAGCAUCCCUAGUAAGAUUUCUCUUUUACUGACCUAAGGAAUAAUAAAGAAAGUCCUGGAUUGAUUUUAGGAGGUGUGGAUCACAUGAGGAGUUCUGCCUCUGAUGAGCUGUGGAAAUUUGCAUGAGCCAUAUUCUCUCUGUAAGUCCCAUUUUGUCACCUAUGAUAAUGGGUCAUUCGGCCAAUGAAUAGCAAAGAAGGGAGACAUGGGCCCUGUUCUCAGGGAGACAAUACUGCCAGGGAGUGAUGUAGACAAAUAAUGAGCAAGAUGAUCUCAGAUGUUAGUGCUGUGUAGAUCAGAAGAGUAACAAGCUGGUUAGUAACUGAAAGAUACUUCUAGACUGGGUGAUCAGAGGAAAGCUCUGUGGCACAGUGACAUUGGAACUGGGACUCAAAUGACAAGGAGGAGCCAAACCAUGAAAGAGCUGGAGGAGAGGCAUCUGGGACAGCAAAGGAGAAAGCCCCAUGGCCAGAACACACAUGGUUUGUUCAUGAAUAGAAAAGAGAUUAUUGUGCUUGGUGCUCACCAUGGAAGGGGGCAAGAUGGGGGGAGAAGACUCAGAGGUCAGAGUGGGGCAGUAACUGAUUGUGUAGAGUCUUGGAGGCCAUGUGAAAGAUAUUAUUUUAAGUACAAGAGAAGCCAUUGGAAAGUUCUGAACAGUGAACAUCAUCAGAUUGGUUUUACAGAACCCCUGCCUGCUCUGUGGGAGAAUGGACCACAGAGGGACAUGGAGGCAGGGAGGAGGCUGCUGAAGACGAUUGCACCCUAAUCCCAUUGGGAAGUAAUGGGAUCAAACUCUGAUCAACCCUUCAUUAUCCUUGAGGGUCCAGAUCUUCUCUCUCACACACACACACAAAAGGCUCAAAUCCACUUGCCUAGCUUUAAAAAUUCUCAGGGCAUUAUUGUACAUCUUGAAGACCAUCCAUGGCUUGCUUCCAGCCAGGAGUGGACACUGUACGUUGCCUGCAUCUUCUGAUAUGCUGUUUAAAUAUUUUCUGAAAGGGGGGUUAUUGACAUCUUUCUGCAUAUUUAGAUUCCCACGAAUACCAGAGAAAAAAGAAACAGAACAAAAAACAAACAAACAAACUAGGUUUGUUAAAAGUUCUUUUUGUUCUUUGACUUGAUUUCUUUCAUUAAUGCAUAAAUCACUACUAAGGUUUUGCGUGUGACAUUACAGCAAGUUAAUUUUUUAGGGCCUAAGGCAUUUUACCAAGGAGUUUCAUCAUUUCUGGUACUCAGACACUUUGUAGUCAGUUUUAUUACUGCCCCUUUUAGAAGUAGGUGAUACCAUAAGGGCAGGUAAGGAAGGCAUCACGUUUUUAUGAUGAGAUGAAAAAACAUAUUCACUGUAGUCCCCUUCCUUUAAAUACACGAAAUAAUAAAAGUAAUAAACAGAAAAAGUAACUCCAAGAAGCUCAAAUAACAAAAAAUAGAGAAGAAAAUCCACCUUGAGUGAGGAGGGAAAAAAAAAAAAUAGAACACAGCCACAAACCCCAAACAUAAAGCAUAAAAAUGAUCUGCCAGACAGAGUACAAUGUGGACUCAGGGAAAGAUGAUUCAGGAAACACAGUACAGCUCCUCUAAACCCAGGGGCCAGGGGACCGGCCAACUCUGAAGGGGGCUGACUGCAAGGCAGUAGGGAAUAGGGAGGGUGGAAGUGAAUGGUACCCCCAUGUAAAGAGAACAGCCAUAGCUCAGAUCUAGCCAAUUUUUGCCAUGCAGAAAAAUUACCAUUGAGGAUUGCCAGAUAUCUGAUUUUUUUUAACAAACUGGAAAGAUGGAUUUUUAUAUGAAAUGUUCCUAUCUUUCAAACACUGUGUGGGCCAAACAAAAUUAUCUGCCAGCUGGAUUCCAUCUGUGGGCUGCCAAUCUGUGAUCCCUGCUCAAAAAGUAAGUGGCAUAAUUCUCAAAGGCCCAUGUAAUGAUUCUUUGAUUAGAUGGAUGAGACAUAUGAGUGGAAGAGAAGAGUCCCCAGAGAUAGCUAAUUCUCCAUUACGAUGAGAUGGGGAGGUAGAGUUGUUUAUGGCUGGGUUUCCAGGCAAGGGAUUGCAUUAGGUGAGGAGGGUGAGAGGGAGCCAUAGCAUUGAUGGACAGACUUUCUGGGACUUUAAGGGCACAAGGUGAGCUUCCCUGACUCCCCCAUGUAUGAACACGGGAUUGGGGGGUUGGGGCUCAUGGCAGAAGACACAUCCAGCUUAGCUGAGUGUCAGAAACAAACCCAAACCCAAACUGGAACUGCUUUAGAUCCUUGGCCUCACCCUUCCCGUCCCGUUCUUUAGCAAUAGUUGGCCUGGAUGGAAGUGCUGCAGCAAAGAUUAAUAACUGAAAGGCAGCAGCACAGCAUCUGUGCAGAAAGCAAAUGUGAGCAAGUCAACCAGCACACAUUUCCGCCAACCUUAAAUAAAGAAGAAGCAGAGGGAGGAACAGCAUCUCUUAGGUCGGGACUCUUCCUAGAAAAUAAGGAAGAAUUCAGACUGAUGCCCUUCUGUAGUUUCCAAGACACUCAAGACAACAAA
rnacentral:lncRNA from 1 species